rnacentral:lncRNA from 1 species
GUCAAUAAAAUUAAAUUCUCUAAAUUAUUAGGUCUAUAAAAUGAUAGAGUUAUGAGAUAACUUGGUCAUAGUCUCCCAUUAAGGUGCGUGAUAAUGAGUCUAAUAUUUCAAAUAGGCAUUGGAGGUGCCACAUGCCUAGUAUCUAUUACGUAUUGGAAUUAUUAUUCAUCAUAUGACCAUCAUGAUGUACCUUUAGAUCAAUGCUC